rnacentral:lncRNA from 1 species
CAAAUUUUGCCUUUUGCUUAUGUCUAAGUAGGGAGCAUUAUUGAAUAUAUUUGGUUUUGGAAUCUAAGUUGGGGAGAGUAAAGGUAGAAAGAAGUGAUUAGAAACUUGGAAAAGUGAGUUUUUAUGAAAGGGUGAAAAUUUGAAAAGAAACAAGAAAAAGAAAACACCCUUGAAGCCAUAGAGCAAAGAAAAAAGUAAAGAAAGA